rnacentral:rRNA from 1 species
AACGCGAAGAACCUUACCAGGACUUGACAUGGGAGUGCCGCGCGCAGAGAUGCGCGUUUCCGCGAGGACACUCCGCACAGGUGCUGCAUGGCUGUCGUCAGCUCGUGUCGUGAGAUGUUGGGUUAAGUCCCGCAACGAGCGCAACCCUCGCCUUCAGUUGCCAUCAGGUUUGGCUGGGCACUCUGAAGGAACUGCCGGUGACAAGCCGGAGGAAGGUGGGGAUGACGUCAAGUCCUCAUGGCCCUUAUGUCCUGGGCUACACACGUGCUACAAUGGCGGUGACAGUGGGAAGCCAGGUCGCGAGGCCGAGCCGAUCUCUAAAAGCCGUCUCAGUUCGGAUUGCACUCUGCAACUCGGGUGCAUGAAGGUGGAAUCGCUAGUAAUCGUGGAUCAGCACGCCACGGUGAAUACGUUCCCGGGCCUUGUA